rnacentral:rRNA from 1 species
AGUUUGAUUCGGCUCAGAUUGAACGCUGGCGUGAUGCUUUAUAAUACGCAAGUCGAAUCGGCAGCACGGACUUCGGUCUGUGGCGAGUGGCAAUUCGGGUGAGUAAUGUAUCGGAACGCCUAGUAGCGGGGGAUAACUAUAUGAGUGUAGCUAAUACCGCAUACGCCCUUCGGGGGAAAGCGGGGGGACCUCGGGCCUCGCACUAUUAGAGCGGCCGAUAUCGGAUUAGUUGGUGGUAACGGCUCACCAGUAUGCGACGAUCCGUAGCUGGUUUGAGGACGACCAGCCACACUGGGACUGAGACACGGCCCAGACUCCUACGGGAGAGGCAGCAGUGGGGAAUUUUGACAAUGGGGAAACCCUGAUCCAGCCACUGGCGUGUGCGAUGAAGGCCUUCGGGUUGUAAAGCACUUUUGGCAGGAAAAGAAACGGCACGGAUAAUACCCCCGUGCAACUGACGGUACCUGCAGAAUACAAGCACCGGCUAACUACGUGCCAGCAGCCGCGGUAAUACGUAGGGCGCAAGCGUUAAUCGGAAUUACUGGGCGAAGCGUGCGCAGGCGGUUCGGAAAGAAAGAUGUGAAUCCCAGAGCUUAACUUCUGGAACUGCAUUUAACUACUGAGCUAGGAGUGUGUCAGAGGGAGGUGGGAAUUCCGCGUGUAGCAGGAAAUGCGUAGAUAUGCGGAGGAACACCGAUGGCGAAGGCAGCCUCCUGGGAUAACACUGACGCUCAUGCACGAAAGCGUGGGGAGCAAACAGGAUUAGAUACCCUGGUAGUCCACGCCCUAAACGAUGUCAAUCAGCUGUUGGGGCCUUCGGGCCUUUGGUAGCAGCUAACGGGCAGGAAGUUGACCGCCUGGGGAGUACGGUCGCAAGAUUAAAACUCAAAGGAAUUACGGGGACCCGCACAGCGGUGGAUGAUGUGGAUUAAUUCGAUGCAACGCGAAAAACCUUACCUACCCUUGACAUGUCUGGAAUCCCGAAGAGAUUUGGGAGUGCUCGCAAGAGAACCGGAACACAGGUGCUGCAUGGCUGUCGUCAGCUCGUGUCGUGAGAUGCUGGGUUAAGUCCCGCAACGAGCGCAACCCUUGUCAUUAGCUACAUGAAAGGCACUCUGUCGUGAGACUGCCGGUGACAAACCGGAGGAAGGUGGGGAUGACGUCAAGUCUCAUGGCCCUUGGUGGGUAGGGCUUACACGUCAUACAAUGGGUCGGGACAGAGGGUCGCCAACCCGCGAGGGGGAGCUAAUCCCAGAAACCUGAUCGUAGUCCGAUCGUAGCUCGCACCGAUCAUGGAAGUCGGAACGCUAGUAAUCGCGGAUCAGCAUGUCGCGGUGAAUACGUUCCCGGGUCUGCACACCGCCCGGGUCGACCAUGGAGGCUCUUACCAUAGCGGUGUUAGCCUAACCGUAAGGAGGGCGAUUACCACGGUAGGAGGACUGGGGUGAAGUCGUACAAGGU